rnacentral:rRNA from 1 species
UACAGGGGGGGCAAGCGUUGUUCGGAAUUACUGGGCGUAAAGGGUCUGUAGGUGGCCAACUAAGUCAGACGUGAAAUCCCUCAGCUUAACUGGGGAACUGCGUCUGAUACUGGAUGGCUUGAGUGUGGGAGAGGAAUGCGGAAUUCCAGGUGUAGCGGUGAAAUUCGUAGAUAUUCGGAAGAACACCAGUGGCGAAGGCGACUUACUGGACACAUAUUGACGCUGAGGUGCGAAAGCGUGGGGAGCAAACAGG